CUGUACAGCAUGGGGACCAAGUUAUACAUACAUGUAUACAUACUUUUUCCUCCCAUUUUUGUGUUGCGAUGUAAGUAUCUAGACAUAGUUCUCAGUGCUAUAUAGCAGGAUCUCAUUGUAAAUCCAUUCCAAGAGCAAUAGAUUGUAUCCGUUAACCCCAAGCUCCUGAUCCCUCCCACUCCCUCCCUCUCCCACUGGGCAGCCACAAAUCUAUUCUCCAAAUCUAUGAUUUUCUUUUCUGUGGAACCAUUCAUUUGUGCUGUAUAUUAGAUUCCAGUUAUAAGUGAUAUCAUAUUUCUCUUUCUCUCUCAGACUUAUUUCACCCAGUAUGAGAGUCUCUAGUUCAUCCAUAUUGCUGAAAAUGGCAUUAUGUCAUUCUUUUUUUUAUGGCUGAGUAGUAUUCCAUUGUAUAUAUAUUCUACAUCUUCCUGAUCCAAUCCUCUGCUGAUAGAUAUUUGGGUUGUUUCAAUGUCUUGGCUAUUGUGAAUAGUGCUGCAAUGAACAAGCGGGUGCAUGUGUCUUUUUCAAGGAAAGUUUUGCCCAGAUAUAUGCCCAAGAGUGGGACUGCUGGGUCAUAUGGUAGUUCUAUGCAUAGAUUUCUAAGGUACCUCCAUACUGUUCUUCAUAGUGGCUGUACCAAUUUACAUUCCCACCAACAGUGCAGGAGGGUUCCCUUUUCUCCACACCCUCUUCAGCACUUGUUAUUUGUGGACUUAUUAAUGAGGGCCAUUCUGACUUGUUGAGGUGGUAUCUCAUGGUAGUUUUGAUUUGCAUUCCUCUAAUAACCGGGGAUAUUGAGCAUUUUUUCAUGUGCUUGUUGGCCAUCUGUAUAUCUUCCUUGGAGAAUGGUAUAUUCAGAUCCUUUCAGCCAUUUUUCCAUUGGGUGGUUGGCUUUUCUGCUGUUGAAUUGUAUAAGUUGCUUAUAUAUUCUAGAGAUUAAGCCCUUGUCCAUUGCAUGUUCGAAACUAUUUUCUCCCAUUCUCUAAGUUGUCUUUUUGUUUCCUUUUUGGUUUCCUUUGCUGUGCAAAAUCUUGUCAGUUUGAUUAGGUCCCAUUGGUUUAUUUUUGCUGUUAUUCCUGUUGCCUUGGGAGACUGACCUGAGAAAAUAUUCAUGAGGUUGAUGUCAGAGAAUGUUUUGCCUAUGUUCUCUUCCAGGAGUUUGAUGGUGUCUUCUCUUAUAUUUAAGUCUUUCAGCCAUUUUGAGUUUAUUUUCAUGCAUGGUGUGAGGGUGUGUUCUAGUUUCAUUGCUUUGCAUGCAGCUGUCCAGGUUUCCCAGCAAUGCUUGCUGAAUAGACUUUUUCCCAUUUUAUGCUCUUGCCUCCUUUGUCAAAAAUUAAUUGACCAUAGGUGUCAGGGUUUAUUUAUGGGUUCUCCAUUGGUCUGUAUGUCUGUUUUGGUACCAGUACCACACUGUUUUGAUGACUGUGGCUUUGUAAUAUUGCUUGAAAUCUGGGAGAGUUAUGCCUCCUGCUUGAUUUUUGUUUUUCAGGAUUGCUUUGGCAAUUCUGGGUCUUUUGUAGUUCCAUAUAAAUGUUUGGAUUGUUUGUUCUAGUUCUGUGAAAAAUGUCAUGGGUAAAUUGAUAGGGAUUGCAUUGAGUCUGCAGAUUUCUUUGGGUAGUAUUGCCAUUUUUACAAUAUUAAUUUUUCCAACACAGGAUCAUGGAAUAUCUUUUUAUUUCUUUACAUCUUCUUUAAUUUCCUUGAUUAAUGUUUUUAGUUCUUGGCAUAUAAGUCCUUUGCCUCCUUGGUCAGGUGUAUUACCAGGUAUUUGAUUUUUGGGGGUGCAAUUUUAAAAGGUACUGCAUUUUUGUAUUCCUUUUCUAAUAUUUCAUUGUUAGUAUACAGAAAUGCGACUGAUUUCUGAAUGUUAAUCUUAUAGCCUGCUACUUUGCUGAAUUUGUUGAUCAGUUCAAGUAGUAUUUGGGUUGAGUCCUUAGGGUUUUCUAUGUAUAGUAUCCUGUCAUCUGCAUACAGUGACAGUUUUACCUCUUCUUUUUCUAUUUGGAUGCCUUUUAUUUCUAUUGUUUGUCUAAUUGCUGUGCCUAGGACUUCCAAAACUGUGUUGAAUAGCAGUGGCGAGAGUGGCAUUCCUGUCUUGUUCCAGAUUUGAGUGAGAAGUCUUUCAGUUUUUCCCCACUGAGUAUUAUAUUUGCUGUGGGUUUAUCAUAAAUGGCUUUGAUUAUUUAAGGAAUGUUCUCUCUAUACCCACUUUGGUGAGAGUUUUUAUCAUAAAUGGAUGUUGGGCUUUGUCAAAUGCUUUUUCUGCAUCUAUUGAGAUGAUCAUAUGAUUUUUGACUUUUCUUUUGUUAAUGUGGUGUAUAACAUUGAUUGAUUUGUGUAUGUUGAACCAUCCUUAUGAACCUGGGAUGAAUCCCACCUGGUCAUGGUGUAUGAUUUUUUUCAUAUGUUGUUGGAUUCGGUUGGCUAAAAUUUUGUUGAGACUUUUUGCAUCUAUAUUCAUCAAAGAUAUUGGCCGAUAGUUUUCUUUUUUGGUGGUAUCUUUGUCUGGGUUAGGAAUUAGGGUGUUGAUGGCGUCAUAAAAUGUUUUUGGGAGUGUUCCUACUUCUUCAACCUUUUAAAAAAGUUUAAGGAGGAUGGGCACCAGAUCCUCUUUGGAUGUUUGGUAGAAUUUUCCUGUGAAGCCAUCUGGUCCUGGGCUUUUAUUUUUUUAUGACAUCUUCAAUUUCAUUUUUAGUGAUCAGUCUGUUUAGUUGGUCUAUUUCUUCUUGAUGCAGUUUGGCAGGCUGUAAGAUUCUAGAAAGUUGUCCAUUUCUUCCAAUUGUCAAAUCUGUUGGCAUAUAGUUUUUCAUAGUAUUCUCUUAUGGUUUUUUGUAUUUCUGUAGUAUCCAUUGUGAUUUCUCCUUUUCCAUUUCUAAUUUUGUUUAUUUGGGUUCUUUCUCUCCUCUUCUUAGUGAGUCUAGCCAGAGGUUUGUCAAUUUUGUUUACCUUUUCAAAGAACUAGCUCUUGGUUUUAUUAAUUUUCUCUAUUGUUUUUUGAAUCUCUAUUUUAUUGAUUUCUUCUUUGAUUUUUAUGAUUUCCUUCCUUCUGCUGACUUUAGGUCUUUUUUUGUUCUCCUUUUUCUAAUUCAUUUAGGUGGUGGUUUAAGUUGUCAAGUUGAGAUUUUUCUUUUUUUUGGAGGAAGGCCUGUAUUGCUAUGAACUUCCUUCUGAGCACUGCUUUUGUGGCGUCCCAUGAUUUUGAGAGGUUGUGGCUUUAUUAUUGUUUGUCUCGAGGUAUUUUUUAAUUUCCUUCAUUGACCCAUUUUUUUUUUUUACCACUUUGUGUCUUUUGAUUGGACCAUUCAGUCCAUUGACAUUUAAGGUGAUAAUUGAUAGAUGAUUAUUUAUUGCCAUUUUAAACCUAGUGUUCCAGUUGAUUCUGUGGUUCUCCAUUCUUCCUUUAUUUUUUUGUUUGGAUGGUCUCCAAUUAUUUUCUGCUUGAGUGUUUUUCUUUUCAUUUUUUGCAAAUGUAGCAUUUGGUUUUGAUUUGUGCUUGCCCUGUUUUUUUAAGUAUGUUAACCACUUCCUAUAAUUGUGUGUUUUAGCCUGGUAGUCCUGUAGGUU
rnacentral:lncRNA from 1 species